rnacentral:ncRNA from 1 species
AGGUGUCGGUUUGACCGAUGAAAAGGGAAACAGGUGAAAGGCCUGUACGAACUCGUCACUGUGAAGCAGAAGGAAAUACCGGAAUCAGGCAAGCUGGUUCGGCCACUGGAAACGGGAAGGCGGUAUUUCUACAGCUGCAAGUCAGGAGACCUGCCUGUCGG